AGCAGUGUAGUAUAGUGGUUAAGAUGUUGGUCUUCUAAUUCAGAGGUGAUAGGUUCAAUCCCCAAACAGGUCAUUGCUG